AAUAUUUGACAAUUUCCGCUUCCUUCAGGUUUGUACAGAUGUUCUCAGGAAACACCCUACUCACUGUAAGUUAGCAUUGCUUUGCUGAAGUCAAUGGCAUUGAGAUAAUUGUGCUCUGGAAUUUGAGAUUGCUCAUAUUGAUUUCAUUGAAGAUUGGAUGAGAAUUUACUGAUUUAAGAUAUUCACUUUUUAGUAUUACUAUGCUUCAAAUGUCUUAAUUCAGUUCCAAGCAGCCUCAUCUACUAUCACCACAAAUUUUAAUGAAGGCUAAAUGAUUUAUCAGUGGUAACUAGAGCUGUUGUGAGAAUCAGCCAUGAAGACAGGGAGUAGCAAACAGAAAUAAACCUAUUGUGUAUGUUCCAAAAGAAGAAUACUUCCUGCCGAUUCAAGUUUCUUGCAAAUUAAGAAAAUACGUAUAUGGCUCCUGAGUUCAUUCUCCAUGGGGAUUAAUGAUCCAAAAGGGACUCCUUGUACCACAGAGGAGUAAAUCACCCCUCCUACUUUUGGCCAGCAGGAUGUGACUGGGGAGAUAAAUGCUUUUGCAUUUCUCUGACCUUUGCUAUUGCUUCUUGGUAAAAGAUUUCCCUUUCUGGAAUUUGUUAAUAUAAGACAAAGACUCUUCCUCCUCCCACAUUAUGUGUGAGAUGCUUAAUUUCAUCAUCCUGGGGACAUAAAUUUGAGCUAGAAAUAGAGCAUGAGCCAAGCCCUUCUCUUGGAUUACCUGUGCUGAUCGCCUUCACAUGGGAUGAAUGAAACCUUUAAUUUCAAUUGUAUCUGACUCUUGUCAGAAGGUUCAUGACUGACUAGAGCAACAAUGUGGUGGCAGAGAUGGAUGAAACUGUUUUAAGUGUCAUUCCUAUAUAAGUAAAGAUCAGCUUUAAACACUGGGGGAGAAAACAAGCGGAGGUAGAACCACAUGGCAGUUUUAAGACAAGAUGCAGCCUAUAACAGCCAACUCUUCCCCCCUUCAUGACGUAUACUUCCUUCAAGGAAAAGGUCAUGGCUUCUCUCCCAGCUACUGCGAGCCUUCCCCAGGCAGGAAGCAUAUCCUGUGUCCUGUUUUCUCCAGGGGCCAGCAGCAGAGCAGAGGGGACCAUUGGCUUCCACUGUUCUGUUCUUAAAUGACCUAAGUACCCAAGCAGUGGGUAGAUCUCCCUCCCUUUCAAAUGCUGAGCAGCCCACCCCAGGCCUUUUCACAGUCCAGCAGCUGCUGGAGGUGACCAGAAGGGGAAAAACAAGCUAUUCCCUUUGGAGGCCUGGCUGACUAUUUUUAUCAGAUAUGAAAUUGCAGCAGUCACUGGGGGGGGGGGGAGUAAUUGUCUUGUGAUUAAAAACUGCAUCUGUGAUUUCUUCCUGAGGAGAGGGGUGCAUUUUCCUCACUGGAUGAGAAACUGGAACAUCUAGUACUGUGUGGCAUAUUAAGGUAGCAGCUUGCUAUCUGUGGGCAAAUGCAUCCAUAUCCCUAAAAGGAUUUGUACUUCUUCUCUCCCAUACUGGACAUAAUCCUGGGUGGGGGGAGGUGUAGCAAGAAAUGCAAAAUAAAGUCCCUUGGUAGGUGCAAAGUCAUGGCAAAACAGAUGUGGCUGAGGGCCAUAUAAUUUCUCCAGACUCCCAGGACACACAUCUCUGUCUUUCCCAUUCUUUCUGGGAUAUUUCCAGACCAUCUUCUAGUUAGUGGGAUUUGGUAACAAUUCAUCCCAGAGAUGAGAUGGGGAUACUGACACCUCUUCCCAUCUGGUACGGUAUCCAGAAAAAAAGAAAAAAAAAGAAAGUGAUUACCGAGAUUGUUUUGAUCCUGAUGGCACUGAGCUUUCUCCCCUAACCAGGACUUAAAUGCUUGCUGAGCUCUGCAUGGAAUUGCUGUAACAGCAGUGCGCUGAUGGUCUUGUUUCAGCCAGCAUCAGACACCUAAUGGAGAAUAAAAAGACAGGACAACCAUCUGGGGGGCUGAAGAAUAGGAAAUUCUUGAGAAAGAGUUAAUAUUUCAGUGUUUAAAGGGGUGUCGUGUUAUAAAAUUCUUUGCAUUUACCAGAGUUUCUCACUUGAAUUACUUUAACCACCUGCUCAGCGUUUGGCAGGAUUGGGCCUUACCUCCUCCUCUUCCCUCUUCUUGAAUGAGCUCUUUUACCUUGUAAUUGAAGGAAUUCAACCUUGGGAACUCAGCAUUGCUGAAAGCACAGUUUGUGUCAGGGAGCAAGGCAUCCCUCCACCUGGCUCCUGCAGGUAACCACAGUGCCUCCAGGAGCCACACAGAAAUGCAUGUGACUUUAUCCUCUCAUCCCUUUUAACAUCCAAUUGUGUAGCAGAAGCCAGUCCCAGAAAUGCAAAAGUAUAUUGCCUGAAGCUAUCCAUGCAACUCAGCACAGCACAAGGGAUGCCAUCAUGCUUAGCCUCUGUUUGCAAGCAUAAGAGGAUGAGGGCAGGGAGUUUUUGCCACUUCUUCUUCCCUUGUCAUUCAGUAGAGCUCCUUCCUAUCUGCCAUGUGAAAAUGUUCAGUGGAAAGCUUUAAGGAGCUACAGCCAGACUGCUGUGUAUGUUCCUUAUUUAUACAGCAUUUACAGCAUGAGUGGCACAAGGAAAGGCUACCAAGUAUCAUGAGAGUAACUUAGUGGAUUUAGAACAUAGUCAUUUAGGUCUUGGGUAGGAGGGAAUUAAAAUCAACAAGUCCUGUGAUAAUAGAGGCUGUUAUAUCCACUUCUUUUAAAUUUCUGUUCUAUCUAUGCAGAGGGAACCAAAAAAUGCAAAAGGGAUAUGGGCUCUUCUCUUCACUGAUUCAUAACAGAUACAUACUUGUGUCCAAGCCUUGCCCUGACAUGGAGUAGAGUGCAGCUCUCCCUGAAAUAAACUGCAGCUCACACAUAUCUUAGGGUGGAACUUGGCUCUUAAACAAAGUUUAAUGGGAGCCUGCUCUGGCUGAACUCUACUUAUGACUUCAUACUUUCCAGGGCUGUGCUGGUUUUUUUUUUUGUUGUUGUUGUUUUGGUUUUUUUUCCCCCUCUUUAUACUAAUAGGUGUUUCAGUGGGAUAACUUGACCUUCUGAUACUAUUCCAAAGCACACUUCUUUGGAGGCAAUGAUAAAUAGUUUGGGGAUGUUAUGAAAGAGCUUGUUAUCAAGCUUGUUAUCAAGCUCUUUCAUGAUUGUUCAAGAAGGCAGAUAUUUUCAGCCUGUUAGAAUCAACUGGUGAAUAAAUCUGGGGAUUGAUAAAACAGAGAGGAUGGGCAGAGGCUGUAUCUGGUGAUCUUAACACUGGACCCUUGUUUAAGCCAUGUUUCUAAUAUUGAUAAAAUUGAUUUUUUAAAAGCUUUUACCACUGGCUCAACAGUGCAGUUGGAAAGUGUGAGAGAUCUGCCACCAACUUCAAAGUGAGCAGAAGCAGCUUAACAGAGAGUGUUUUUAUGAAUCCCACCUUGCAUAUGUACCACUUUGUAUUUCACUGUGUGUUGGAACAAUGCCCUGCUUCGCUACAAGUGUAAAUGGGACCGAACAAUGCCCUGCUUCGCUACAAGUGUAAAUGGGACCGUAAUGACUGCUGCUGUGCAGCUGCAGAGUGUGGUUGCUGCUGAUUAAGCUAUGGCAAAGCAACAUUCCACCAGGAAGGCAGGGAGGGAGGGGCAGGGUCAGAGCUCUGCCUGAGGGUCCCUAUUUUUACAGCUGAGAGGUCCCUUACUUCUUAGUACAUUCCUAUGUAUUCUUACACUGACAAUACCAUGCCCUCAACUUUUGCCAAGGCCUUCUACAGCCACUAUAUUUCAAAGGAAUCACUUGGCUGUGAAAAAAAUGAGUUUUCAGUUCUUUUAAGAGCAAUCUAGCAAGGAAUUAUCUUGUUGUAUCCAGCUCUUUUUUACCUUUGUGCUUCGCUUUUGGGGAAACCUGUUUGUUCUGAGUGCAGAUAUGUAAUGUUCCUCACCUGCCUGAAAGAGCACUUCUGCCUUUUGCCCUUUCUGUCUGCACCUAGCACACCCCUUCUUGUUAACAGAGCAACCAAUAGUCAGACCACAUGGUAGUGACUUUGAUCAUUUUACCAAUAAAUAAAUAACCCCUGCCACCUUUUUAUAUUUUUUACUUUUUCCAUUGGGCCAGUUUUCUGUUGGAUCAGCUUGAAUGGAAAAGGGUUAGGAGCGAGAAUGCCCUUUUCAGCUGGAAUGUAAGCAGCCAGCUCAAAUCACAACAAUUCACUCUCAGCUUUCCUGCAUGUGUAUUUCAUACAUUUAGGAAAGGAACAGCCCAAAGGUUUUGCAGUAAGCCAAAAACAUGUUGAUCAGAGAAGUGCCUUAGCAAGCAUUUGUUGCUAUUGAAAAGUACCAGACCAUAUUUCUUUGCUUAAUGACAGACAUUAAUCCUCCACUGAAAUUGCCAGAAUUAUCCAAGCUUAAUCUGGCUUUAGAAGUUUAAAAUAUAGUCCAAACUAUAUAAAAAUGAGGCAUUAUGACCAAAAAAAGGAGCUGGAAAAAAAAUAUAUAUAUCAGUACUGUCCCUUUGGCUUUUCCUUUGUUGUUCAAACCACUAAAGACAUUCUUUAAAAAAAAAAAAAAAAAAAAAAAAAAGUCGAUUUUUUAAAUUGGUGACCAAAAUGUGAAUAUCAUCCCAUUACUUCCACCCACUACCAUUUCUGUUUUCAGUCCAGUUUCCUAAUGAAAUGAGUCUUAUAUGUUCCUGCUGUCUAACUGUCUGCUUAAUCAUCUGUUCAUCCAUCUGUCACUUCACAUCAAGAACUUUUGGAUCUACUAACCAGUGUCAACCAGAUUUGAAAGAGAAGCAGAAGCCUCAGAGAUGAUUAUGGUCCUCCAAGUUGUAUGAAAGUCAACAUUUGUCUACAGAGAGCCAUUCAAGUGAGCAGUAACACAAAAAUGGCUCCUUACUAGGAGAAUAAACUAAAGAAUGUUCUUCUCUAUGUAGGAAUAUAUUAGCAACAAAUUUUGGCAAGAUCAUGGAAUGGCUCUGGUUGGAAUGGACCGUAAAGAUCAUCAGACUCCAGCCAUCAGGAUAAGGUUGCUUCUGAAAAUAUGACUACAAUUAGUAGGCCUAAUGCAGACAUGUAAGGCACUAUUUAAGCACCUGUUGGAGAGAUCUAGCACUGCUUAUCAGUGCACGUCAAAGGCUCUGACUACCUUUUAGAAAGGCUAAGCCCCCAGGACAGGUUAGGAAAGGGAUGGCUGAGCAAUGCUAACAGUAAUGGUUGGGAUUUAUUUUCCCUAAUUAUAAUCUCCAGAAAUCUAGGCCUCUAAUCUAUGCUAGUAGUUGGCUUAAGUUGGGUAAAUUGGCUUCUUGGCUGAUAAGAAUGGAAGUUCCCACUCCCUCCCCCAGAAUUCAUCACACUUCUGCAGGAGCUGAAUGGAUUUCCCUGCAAGAAGGGGUGUCCUUCCUGCAGCACCUUCAGAUAUAGCAUAGAUUAUGUAGGCUCUUUUCUAGUGGCUAAACGUCUCAUCAGGCUAGUUAUUAUCUCUCCACCUACAUAGUACUGACUGUUCAUUCUUCAUUAGGAGAGAGGAACAUUAUUAAUUAAUUGCUAAUGAAUCUCAAAACAGUGUAAGUCCCUCACUGAAAAAUAUUCAGUAUAUGGUUUCAAUGCAGGUUGUUGGUGUUUGUUUGUUUGUUUGUUUGUUUUAAUGCUCAGCUCUGUUAAUGUGUUCAAUAUUCUAUUUGCCAAAUAAAGCCAGACAACUGUCCAAAAACAAUGGACAAGAGAGACUUUUUUCUUUCAUUUUUUUUUUCUCCCAACAAUUAUUGCACUAUCUGUCUAGAAUUCCUCAGAUGAAUGAUAGAUGCUGAAGAAUUUUUGUUAAAAUUGCUCGACUCAAUUCAGACAGAUUGGACUAAUACAUAAAUGCUUUUCAAAUAACAAAGCAGGCUUUGUCUUUUUUAUUGCAGCAGAUAGGCAAAAGAAAUCUGCAUGUUCAUUGCAGAAUCCUUGGAAUAUGAGAAAUGUUGUUACCCUGAGCUAUACUUGCCUUGCAAGUUUCUAAGAUGCAGACAUCGAGAACUCCUCAGCUGGAGCAGAUGUGGCUGUUAUUGGAGGUGUGAUUGCUGCAGUGGUAUUUGUCCUCAUUUGCCUAUUGGUUGUGAUGGUCCGGUACAUGUACAGGCAUAAGGGCACCUACCAC